rnacentral:rRNA from 1 species
GACGAACGCUGGCGGCGUGCUUAACACAUGCAAGUCGAACGGAAAGGCCCUGCUUUUGUGGGGUGCUCGAGUGGCGAACGGGUUAGUAACACGUGAGUAACCUGCCCUUGACUUUGGGAUAACUUCAGGAAACUGGGGCUAAUACCGGAUAGGAGCUCCUGCUGCAUGGUGGGGGUUGGAAAGUUUCGGCGGUUGGGGAUGGACUCGCGGCUUAUCAGCUUGUUGGUUGGGUAGUGGCUUACCAAGGCUUUGACGGGUAGCCGGUCUGAGAGGGUGAGCGGCAAGAUUGGGACUGAGAUGCGGCCCAGAAGCCGGGGGGAGGGAGCAGUGGGGGAUAGUGCAAAAUGGGCGGGAGGCUGAAGCGGCAACGCCGCGUGGGGGAUGAAGGUCUUCGGGUGGUAAACAGCUUCCGCCUGUGACGAAGCGUGAGGGACGGAAAUGGGUAAAGAAGCACCGGCUAACUACGUG